UCAGUACUCCCUGCGAUCCAUAUUAAUUGUCGCUAAAAUGGAUGUAUCUAGAACUGAAAUACGUCUAGAUACAUCCGUUUUAGCGACAAGUAAUAUGGAUCGGAGGGAGUAAUGU
rfam:Triticum aestivum genome assembly, contig: Triticum_aestivum_CS42_TGACv1_scaffold_342751_4DL